rnacentral:rRNA from 1 species
CCUACGGGUGGCAGCAGUGAGGAAUAUUGGUCAAUGGGCGCGAGCCUGAACCAGCCAAGUCGCGUGAGGGAAGACGGUCCUAUGGAUUGUAAACCUCUUUUGUCGGGGAGCAAAAGACGCCACGCGUGUCGUUCCGAGAGUACCCGACGAAAAAGCAACGGCUAACUCCGUGCCAGCAGCCGCGGUCAUACGGAGGAUGCGAGCGUUAUCCGGAUUUAUUGGGUUGAAGGAGUGCGCUGGCGGAAGAUCAAGUCAGCGGUGAAAUUGACAGGCUCAACCUCUUCGAGCCGUUGAAACUUGUUUUCUUGAGUGAGUGAGAAGGAUGCGGAAUGCGUGGUGUAGCGGUGAAAUGCAUAGAUAUCACGCAGAACUCCGAUUGCGAAGGCAGCAUACCGGCGCUCAACUGACGCUCAUGCACGAAAGUGUGGGUAUCGAACAGGAUUAGAUACCCUGGUAGUC